rnacentral:rRNA from 1 species
GAGUGAACGCUGGCGGUAGGCCUAACACAUGCAAGUCGAACGGCAGCACAGUAAGAGCUUGCUCUUACGGGUGGCGAGUGGCGGACGGGUGAGGAAUACAUCGGAAUCUACUUUUUCGUGGGGGAUAACGUAGGGAAACUUACGCUAAUACCGCAUACGACCUACGGGUGAAAGCAGGGGAUCUUCGGACCUUGCGCGAUUGAAUGAGCCGAUGUCGGAUUAGCUAGUUGGCGGGGUAAAGGCCCACCAAGGCGACGAUCCGUAGCUGGUCUGAGAGGAUGAUCAGCCACACUGGAACUGAGACACGGUCCAGACUCCUACGGGAGGCAGCAGUGGGGAAUAUUGGACAAUGGGCGCAAGCCUGAUCCAGCCAUAUCGCGUGGGUGAAGAAGGCCUUCGGGUUGUAAAGCCCUUUUGUUGGGAAAGAAAAGCAGCAGGUUAAUACCCCGCUGUUCUGACGGUACCCAAAGAAUAAGCACCGGCUAACUUCGUG